UUCUAGCCCUGAUAGUAGCGGCAUCCUUUAUGUUUUUUCUUUAAAAACAUAAAGAUAUAGCGGAUAGCAGGAAAUAGC
rnacentral:sRNA from 1 species